rnacentral:lncRNA from 1 species
GCCUAGUCAUUGUCCAAGUGGAUGCCACGUCAUCAGUUAACGGAAAAUUUAACAACAACCUUAAUGGAUGUAUGAAAGUGUUCAAAAAUUAUAACUUUAUGUACUACUCUGGGAUGAAAAAAACUUCAUGUACCAAAUGUUGAAAACAAAUAACUUUAAGGUAGUAAACUGAGAUUAACCCUUAUAUUUAUCUCGCUCAUUUGAUUUCCAAAAACAUCUCAUGAUAAUCACAAUGGAUGUCAAAUAUAAUUAUCAUUCUGUAAAAAUAAUAAUUAUCAAGGAAAUCAUGAAGAACAUCUUGCUUUAUCUCUCCAUCCAACAGCCUAAAAUGCAUGAGUCGAUGGUAUAAAUUAUGUCCAAACAUAUGGUCAUUGAAUUCUCUCUUAAUAUGGUCAUUGAAUUUCUAGCCAUUGUGUCCAUUAAAUGAAAUUAAUUUUGGGUUUCAAUUUAUAGGAGUAUUCCUUUUGAUAUCAAUUAUUCAUUUUAUUUCUUUAAAUAAAUGAGGAACAACAUAACCAUCCUGGAAUAAUAUAUAAACUAACACAAGGGUGGGAGUAGAUACACGAUUGAAUGGUCAAUUCCUAUAAUUUUUUAUAAUCUCUCUACAUACUUUUAUGUGUAUUAAGUUCCUCAGAAGAGUUCAACUCAACUAGAUAUUAGGAGUACACCCUAGUCUGGUAGCGGGCUGUCGAAUUAUGGCGACUAUACGCCAUUACCCUGUUCCAUUGGUUUGAGAACCUGAGGGGGCAAAAUCGAUUUUAAAGACAACGACUAUCGUGCUUUAGCCAAUUGAUGUUGUAAUACACUGGGCUUAGUGUAUUUGUAACCAACCUUUAUUUUAUAAAAUGUUGUUGCUCGCGUUGUUUUUAUAAGAUGUGUUAUCUAAUUUAUUUGUUUGUUGGGUUUUCCUUUCUCUUUUAACAGGAAUAAAGAACACAUAUACAAUAAGAGACUUUGAUUAACUUUCUAUGUUGUAAAAGUAAUACAUACGAUUUUUUUUGGAUAAAAAUGUUGAUGCACAAAAUCAGCGAAGACUUUGAUACAACAGAAAAUUUUAAGUUUGUGACCUUCGCUAGAUUGCUCCGGUCACUAGUGUGGAUAAGUAUGUAAAUGGAUAGAGACAGGGAAGCAAACACAAGAUGUAUGUGGUUCACCCAGAUUGGCUACAUCCACGG